GGCCUGAUGGUCUAGGAGUAUGAUUCGUUGUUAGGGUUCUCUUCCCAAGUGACCUAUCGACGAGGUCCCGGGUUCAAUUCCCGGUCAGGCCC